rnacentral:misc_RNA from 1 species
GAUGAAGAACGCAGCGAAAUGCGAUAAGUAGUGUGAAUUGCAGGAUUCAGUGAAUCAUCGAAUCUUUGAACGCACAUUGCGCCCCUUGGUAUCCCGAGGGGCAUGCCUGUUCGAGCGUCAUUUCACCACUCAAGCCUGGCUUGGUGUUGGGCGACGUCCCCUUUGGGGACGCGCCUCGAAACGCUCGGCGGCGUGGCACCGGCUUUAAGCGUAGCAGAAUCUUUCGCUUUGGAAGUCGGGGCCCCGUCUGCCGGAAGACCUACUCGCAAGGUUGACCUCGGAUCAGGCAGGGAUACCCGCUGAACUUAAGCAUAUCAAUAAGCGGAGGA